rnacentral:rRNA from 1 species
UACAUGUGGGGCAAGCGUUGUUCGGAAUUACUGGGCAUAAAGGGUGCGUAGGCGGCCUGCCAAGUCAGGGGUGAAAGGUUUCGGCCCAACCGGGACAGUGCCUUUGAUACUGGCGUGCUUGAGUGCGUGAGGGGUGACUGGAACGAGUGGUGUAGCGGUGAAAUGCGUAGAUAUCACUCGGAAGGCCAACGGCGAAGGCAGGUCACUGGUACGCAACUGACGCUGAGGCACGAAAGCGUGGGGAGCAAACAGG